AACGCACAUUGCGCCCAUUAGUAUUCUAGUGGGCAUGCCUGUUCGAGCGUCAUUACAACCCUAAAGCCUAGCUUUGUGUUGGGAGACUGCGCUAAACCGCAGCUCCUCAAAACCAGUGGCGGAGUCCUCUCGUGCUCUGAGCGUAGUAAUUACUUAUCUCGCUUCUUGCAACACGGUGGUCGACGGCCAGUAAACCGCACUCCUUCGGGGGGCACUUUUUUAAUGGUUGACCUCGGAUCAGGUAGGAAUACCCGCUGAACUUAA
rnacentral:misc_RNA from 1 species